rnacentral:rRNA from 1 species
GUGUUUGUCACUGGUAAGGGCGUAUGGUGGAUGCCUUGGUAGACAGGACCGAUGAAGGACGUGACGGGCUGCGAUAUGCCUCGGGGAGCUGCCGAGUGGGCUUUGAUCCGAGGAUUUCCGAAUGGGGAGACCCGGCCACUGUUAUGAGUGGUCACCACAGUUUUUGUGGGGGGUACGCAGGGAAGUGAAACAUCUCAGUACCUGCAGGAAAGGAUACUCCGUGAGUAGUGGCGAGCGAAAGCGGAUCAGGCUAAACCGGGUGCGUGUGAUAGCCGUCAGGUGUUGCGCAUUCGGGGUCGUGGGAUGGACUGUUCAGCCUCUGACGGGG